CCUACGGGUGGCAGCAGUGGGGAAUAUUGGGCAAUGGGCGAAAGCCUGACCCAGCAACGCCGCGUGAAGGAAGAAGGCUUUCGGGUUGUAAACUUCUUUUGACAGGGAAGAGCAGAAGACUGUACCUGUCGAAUAAGCCACGGCUAACUACGUGCCAGCAGCCGCGGUAAUACGUUGGUGGCACGCGUUCUCCGGAUGUACUGGGUGGAAAGGGCGUGUAGCGGGGCUGACAAGUCAGAUGUGAAAUCCGGGGGCUGAACCCCCGAACUGCAUUUGAAACUGUUGGUCUUGAGUAUCGGAGAGGCAGGCGGAAUUCCUAGUGUAGCGGUGAAAGGCGUAGAUAUUAGGAGGAACACCAGUGGCGAAGGCGGCCUGCUGGACGACAACUGACGGUGAGGCGCGAAAGCGUGGGGAGCAAACAGGAUUAGAUACCCUGGUAGUC
rnacentral:rRNA from 1 species